AGGAGUUUUCAUUAGUAUUAUGAUUUAAACUUGAGCUAAUCAAAUCUUUCAUAUGAUGAAUUUUGGGAUUUGAUGAGUUUUUAUAACCUCCAUUCUAUCAGAACUCACGACAGAGAAACUGAAUUACAUGGUAACUACCCCUAUAAUUUUUAAUUAUUCUAUUCUACUAAAUUACCACCACAUGCUACUAGAUGUUCUCAGU
rnacentral:lncRNA from 1 species